GGAGCUUCCCUCAGUUCUAGGGCAGUUCGGAUCAUCCCAUGGUAAAUGGUAGGACUGUGAUACCAAACCUGAGGCAGUGAGUUCCAGGAGCAAGAAGCAAAGAAAGAAUUGGGGCAGUUUUAUGCUUUAGCUCUACCCUGGAUGUAUAUUCUCAUGCAUUUGGAAGUCGAGAGUUGCUGUCAUUCAUAUCUAUCAUUUUCAAUUAGAAGAAAACAGGAAGCCUCAUUAUCUGCCUGACAAACUCCAUUGCUGGAUAUGGUCUGAAUAUGUUUCCUCUUCUCUUCCUCCUUGCUUUUGCUCAUUUCCUUAUACUUAGAAAAACACUAAUGAACCUCACACAUUUCAAAUUAAAAAUCAACAUUAUCUGGCAAAA